GUAAGGAAUAUUGGACAAUGGGCGGAAGCCUGAUCCAGCCAUCCCGCGUGCAGGAUGAAGGCCCUAGUGGUUGUAAACUGCUUUUAUUUGGGAAGAAAUCUGUCUAUUUAUAGGCAGUUGACGGUACCUUAUGAAUAAGCACCGGCUAACUCCGUGCCAGCAGCCGCGGUAAUACGGAGGGUGCAAGCGUUAUCCGGAAUCACUGGGUUUAAAGGGUGCGUAGGCGGCCUGACAAGUCAGGGGUGAAAUGUCAUCGCUCAACGAUGAAAUUGCCUUUGAUACUGUUGGGCUUGAAACAGGUUGAGGUUGGCAGAAUGUGGCAUGUAGCGGUGAAAUGCAUAGAUAUGCCAUAGAAUACCGAUUGCGUAGGCAGCUGGCUGGACCUGGAUUGACGCUGAGGCACGAAAGCGUGGGGAGCAAACAGGAUUAGAUACCCCGGUAGUCC
rnacentral:rRNA from 1 species